GACGAACGCUGGCGGCGUGCUUAACACAUGCAAGUCGAACGGAAGGCCCUGCUUUUGUGGGGUGCUCGGGUGGCGAACGGGUGAGUAAAAAGGGAGUAACCUGCCCUUGACUUUGGGAUUACUUCAGGAAACUGGGGCUAAUACCGGAUUGGAGCCUCUGGUGCCUGGUGGGGGUUGGAAAGUUUCGGCGGUUGGGGAUGGACUCGCGGCUUAUCAGCUUGCUGGUGGGGUAGUGGCUUACCAAGGCUUUGACGGGUAGCCGGCCUGAGAGGGUGACCGGCCACAUUGGGACUGAGAUACGGCCCAGACUCCUACGGGAGGCAGCAGUGGGGAAUAUUGCACAAUGGGCGGAAGCCUGAUGCAGCAACGCCGCGUGCGGGAUGACGGCCUUCGGGUUGUAAACCGCUUUCGCCUGUGACGAAGCGUGAGUGACGGUAAUGGGUAAAGAAGCACCGGCUAACUACGUG
rnacentral:rRNA from 1 species